rnacentral:rRNA from 1 species
UACGGAGGGUGCGAGCGUUGUUCGGAAUCACUGGGCGUAAAGCGCGUGUAGGCGGCCCACUAAGUCUGAUGUGAAAGCCCGGGGCUCACCCCCGGAAGUGCAUUGGAAACUGGUGGACUCGAGUCCCGGAGAGGAGAGUGGAAUUCCUAGUGUAGAGGUGAAAUUCGUAGAUAUUAGGAAGAACACCGGUGGCGAAGGCGGCCCACUGGAUCGGUACUGACGCUGAGGUGCGAAAGCGUGGGGAGCAAACAGG